AUGGACAUUUUAGCAAAACUAAGUGAAAACCUUGUAAAAUUUUCAGAUUAUGUUUCUACAUUUAAACAUCUACUGGGGGAGGUAGAGGGCAAUUCUAUGCAGUCAAACCUGAAAUUGCUGACAUCCCACCUCAGCCUUCCAAAGUGCUGGGAAUACACGUGUGAGCCACUGCACCUGUCCUUGGUUUCAGAUCUUGACACAGCACAUCCUCAACUUAUUGUCUCCGAGGAUAGAAAAAGCUGUGUAAUGGAAGAACAAAACCAAACGUUUGUUAUAACCCAAGGAGAUUUUAUUUCUGCCCUGCUGUCCUGGGCCCUCAGAAGUGUCGUUCUGGCAGACAUUACUGGAAGGAGAAGUGGGAAACGAUCCUAAAUGAAAAUUGGGUGUGUGUCAAGAUGAUCUUCUUAGGACCUGGCAGGAUCAACCUUCAGUUCUGGGUUGAUUUGGGGGCAAUUGGAUGAUAUAUAGAGUGGUUAUGCUGCAUCAGGUCCUAAAAAAGCCCGCUUCUGUCAGUAGUAAAAUCCAAUAAGAUUGGUAUUCUUUUGGACUAUGAAUUUGGUGAUUUUUUAAAGUAAUGUAAGUGAUAGGUUUGUUCUGUAUAUUUUAAUGAUUCUUUCACAAGAGCUAUUUGGCCUUAUUUCUAUACUGAAGCAGAUUCUGAACAUCUCAAAAUCUGUUCAUUAUCAGAUACUGAAAGAUAAAGAACAAGUAAAUGAAUCUGUUUCAGUUUUUUGGGUAAUUUAACCAGUAAAUUUAAUCUUAUUUCUUUAAUCUUUAAGUUUUACUGCUGAAGGCCAGAAUAGAUUUUUUUCUCCUAAAUUUUUGGCAAGUAUAAAGCACGUUCAGAAUGUCACUUUCAUAGAUACUAUGAAUAUCAAUUGUCAAGUGUGUUGAUUUCUAAGAUAAAAUAUUUGAGAAUUAAUAUUACCCAACUUGUCCAAUAAAAUGUUAAGUUGCCUAUUUUAAAAAAAUCUGUCAAUUUUGAAUUGCAUACCUAGCUAAAUUUUUUUUUAAGAUUGAGGGUGAGAUGUAAAAUAAUUUAUACAAGUAAUAUAAACUGUUUACUUAAAUUAUUUACUUAAAUCUAAUUACAUUUAAAUAAAUUGCUGUUACCUGUUA